CCUACGGGAGGCUGCAGUAGGGAAUAUUGGGCAAUGGGCGAGAGCCUGACCCAGCCAUGCCGCGUGCAGGAAGAAGGCUUUCUGAGUCGUAAACUGCUUUUGACAGGGAAGAAUAAGCAUUACGUGUAAUGCGAUGACGGUACCUGCAGAAUAAGCACCGGCUAACUCCGUGCCAGCAGCCGCGGUAAUACGGAGGGUGCGAGCGUUGUCCGGAUUUAUUGGGUUUAAAGGGUGCGUAGGCGGCCGUUUAAGUCUGGGGUGAAAGCCCGCUGCUCAACAGCGGAACUGCCCUGGAUACUGGAUGGCUUGAGUACAGACGAGGUUGGCGGAAUGGACUGAGUAGCGGUGAAAUGCAUAGAUACAGUCCAGAACCCCGAUUGCGAAGGCAGCUGACUAGGCUGUUACUGACGCUGAGGCACGAAAGCGUGGGG
rnacentral:rRNA from 1 species